rnacentral:rRNA from 1 species
GACGAACGCUGGCGGCGUGCCUAAUACAUGCAAGUAGAACGCACGGUUUAUACCGUAGCUUGCUACACCAUAGACUGUGAGUUGCGAACGGGUGAGUAACGCGUAGGUAACCUGCCUGGUAGCGGGGGAUAACUAUUGGAAACGAUAGCUAAUACCGCAUAAUAUUAAUUAUUGCAUGAUAAUUAAUUGAAAGGUGCAAUUGCACCACUACCAGAUGGACCUGCGUUGUAUUAGCUAGUAGGUGAGGUAACGGCUCACCUAGGUGACGAUACAUAGCCGACCUGAGAGGGUGAUCGGCCACACUGGGACUGAGACACGGCCCAGACUCCUACGGGAGGCAGCAGUAGGGAAUCUUCGGCAAUGGACGAAAGUCUGACCGAGCAACGCCGCGUGAGUGAAGAAGGUUUUCGGAUCGUAAAGCUCUGUUGUAAGAGAAGAACGGGUGUGAGAGUGGAAAGUUCACACUGUGACGGUAUCUUACCAGAAAGGGACGGCUAACUACGUG